UUCAAAGCUACAUUAUACAGAUUGUUAUAUAUGUCUAACUCAAAGCCCAGCAAUGAUAGUCUCAAGGGAUUUCUGUACGAUAACCAUCUGUCUCACAAUGGUAUGCAUAUCGUUUCAAUAUUCUGUAGGCUCCGUGAUGCUUUAAAUUGCAAUCCUGAUAUUUUGUUAAAGGCUAUACGGACCCCACAAUUUGACCGGCAGAUUCAAGCUCUGGUGAAAAUUCUUGGACACAUGAAUGAAGAAGUAGGUCAACAUGAGAGGCAGAUGUGGAAAUAUGGGAGAAUUUUCGAUGAAAAAUUCAUGUCUGUAUUACAGACAAAAGCAUGUCCUAAAUUGGUAAUGAUGUUAGCUGCUGCUCUUCAACAAGAAAGACCUGAAGGAGCAGAGAAUAUUCUAAAAAUCAAACAACUUGAAGAUGUGAGUGAGGAAAAUAAAAAGAAAUGUAUUAUGGCUGCCGAAGCUGUGAGAAAGAUGAUUAAAUCCUCACACAAACAAAUAGCCUGAUUCAUCGUCUGCAAUUGAGACCUCAAGUUGAAGAGGAUGAUUGGUGGAGGUCAUGAAUGGGAUGGUCUUUAUUACCUUAGUUGAGCUUCUGCAAGUGGUAGUCUUAAAAGCAUUACAAACAGGGGCGUCACCUCAUUAGUGGCACUAUUGUCUCUUUAGUCUUAUUGUGGGAUUAAACAUCAAACCUCUCGUGGCUACUCCUUAACAAAACUUCGGUUGCAUAACGAAAAGAGAGACAUUUUGUUGAAGUUUCAAGGACUAUUAUGCUUCAAUUGCAUCUUCUUGAACAUUUGUUAGGGGAUGCCAUUCUUAGUACUGCAUGUUAUCUUAUUAACUCUGAUGACU